GGUCCCGCUAGCCGGCUGGGGUUUUCUUCCCUAGCAGGGCCGGCCUAGAAACUCAUAUUUUAUUCAUGAAAAUCGAGGCCUUGGGAGGCCUUGGCGUAAACAGGAUGUAAAUAUUUGCGGGCAGUGAGGAGCGGUGGUGUAGAUCGGGGGCUGUCCAGAGCGGGACAUCCAGGACAAAGCUAAGUGGAGACCCGCCCACCCCCCUUCCCGUCCCAGCACUGGAGGACUGAUGGGUGAGGGCUCGGGCCUGGAGAGCAGUGGGGCUGGGACCCCAGGGUCUUUAAAUGGAGUCAGGUGACACUUCACCUUGCACGAAUUCCAUUCCCCUGAUCCAUGGGGGUCCCUUUGUUCCCGGCCCCCUAGAUUUAAACCUAGAAGCGGAGCACUGGAGGCUGAGGCAGGAGGAUCUUGAGUUUAAGGCUUCACGCUUCUGGAACCCACACUGGCUCCGUAACCAGGGCCUGGCCUCGGCUACAAGAAGCUGUCCCUUCUGCCCACACCAGGGUCUCAGAUUUGUGGUUUUAACAAUGUCCCAUCCUCCUGCCUCAGCUUUCUGCAGUGCAGAGAUUACAGUGUUUGCCAACCAUUCCUGUUUUUCUUUACUUUGGGACUUUCGUACUCACUAAAUGAUGAAGUUGCAACCCUGCUGACAGCCUCCCAGGGUGAUAGAAUGGCAGGUCUGUGUGUCCGGCUCAUUUGUGCCCUGAUGCUGUCUCAGUUUGCAAACUUAGGCCUUCUGGUUCCACUCCUCACCUAACAGCCCCGGGGGCCCAGUGAACUGCAGUGUGGCUGCUGCAUCUGAACUGCAGCUAUGAUUUGUCCAAGUUGGGCCCAGUGCUGAGUCCUGAAGGAAGAAAAAUAUUCCUACCCAGAGGAGUCACAGCCUUCCAGGAAUCGGCACCCUCGGGGCUUACCCAAGACUGCGGUGAGCCAGAGCUGCAGGAGCAGACAGGCAGGGACUGAGCCCUGUGCUAGGAGAGCUGAGAUUUGGUACCCAUCCAGACAGGAGCCUGACUGCACCACCCAGCAGCUCUCCCAGAGGCUAGAAGCAGCAGGCAGGUGUGGCUGAGGUUGCCACUGGAAUUUAGUCACCCACUCGCAAUUGAUCGGUGUGACAGUUUUCAUUAUGGAAUUUCUUAGCUUGCUAGGUGUGGUGCACACACCUGCAUCCCCCACACUCAGGAGGAUGGUCAGGAUUUGGGGACCAGUCUGGGCUACACAGUAAGUUCAAGGCCACCUGAUCUACAUACCCACACUGAGUCUAAAUAAAUAUUUGCUGAGCAUGGUGGUUUAUCCCUGUAAUGCCAACUACUUGAGAGGCUGAGGCAGAAAGAUUGCAAAUUUGAGUCCAGCCUGGGCAACAGAACAAGUCUCUUUAACUCUGGGACAGGACCUCAGUUGCUCAGGUCUUGAACUUGCAAACCUCCUAUCCUGGCCUCUCAGGUAGCCAGGAUACCAGCAGCAUUUCGAAUCUUAAUUUGUCAAAUAUAUAAAGAUUGUAUGUGUGUUUCAUCAAAAAUAAUACAGGGGCUAAGGCAUGGUACAGCAUUUACAUAGCGUGUAUAAGGCCCUAGAUCCAAUCCCCAGGCACACUAACACUCCACAGCCUCUACCCAAAACACACCUAACAAACUCAAAAGUUGGAUUCAUUUCAUGUAUCUGUACUCUGCACACCACCCCCUCCCCAGGGAGGGUCUCAUUCUGUAGCCCAUGCUGGCCUUGAAUUUGUAGUGAUCCUCCUGCUUGUUGGGCUGUCCUGACUCUCUAGUUGCAGGGCCUUUACAAUGCUUGGCUCUUGGCAGAUGCUGACAAAUUUGUUAGUAAAUGAAUAAUCUGGCACUUUUAAAAGUAUAGGUACAGAACUGGGCAUGGUAGUGCACUCCUGUAGUCCCAGCACUCGGGAGGCUGAGGCAAGAGAAUCGUUUGCAAGUUUGAGACCUGGCUGGGCUAAAAAGUGAGCCCAAGGCCAGCCCCAACUGCAUAGCAAGAUGAGACAAGACCCUGUCUCAAAAGAAGAACAAAUAAAAACAAUAGUAGUGACAUGUAGGAGCCGAGGUUAUAGCCCAGCAAUACAGUGCCUGCCUGGCAAGUGCAAGGUCAUGUGUUCAAUUCCCAGUAUACACACACACACACACACACACACACACACACACACACACACAAAGUAACAUGAAGUGAAAGAACAACAGGUUACAAAGUUGUACACAGGAUGAUUCAAUUUAUAAAAGAUUUAAAAAUUCGUCAGAUUGUAGCACAGCAUAUUGACAGAUAACUUGUAUCUUUUUUAUUUUUUGUAACCAGAAGUUUAAUCCAAAAAAGUCUCACAAAACACAGCUGGGAUAUAUAACUCAGCAGCAUGAGUGCCUACCGGGCAAGUGCAAGGUCCUGAGUUUGAUUCCCUGGUACAACAACAACAAAAAAAAGGUUCCAGAAAAUAUACUGCAAAAGACAGCAUGAAAAAAUCUUGACCCUCAUUGAUGUGCUUUGAAAUUUUGUUACAGUUUUUUUCUUCUUUUCUAUGUAUAUUUAAAUAAGAUGGAUCUGAAAAAAAAAGAAAAAAGUCUUGCACAGUAACUCAAAAGUUCAGCUCUACAAUGCACCCUUAACCUGGUAUUAUUCUCAGGUAGUUCUAAAAGUGGCUUUCCAGCUAAACAUUAUCAGGUUCUGGGUUCCAUGCCUCUCCUUGCAGUUGAAGAACCCAGAUUCCAGGUUUUUCUUGUCUCCAACAUAUUUGGAUAAGCAAAAACAAACAAAAAACCCAGUGAGUUUAUUCAAGAAAGUAAAAGUUAAGGCUGAGAGUAGUGGUGCACACCUGUGAGUCCAGCACUGAGGCUGAGGCGGAGGAUUACUGCAAAUUUGAGAUAGUCUGGGUUACAUAGUGAGUUCAAAGCCAUCCUGAACUACAUAGUGAAACCCUGUCACCCUAUCUCAAAGGAGAGAGAGAGAGAGAGAGAGACAGAGACAGAGACAGAGACAGAGAGAGAGAGAGAAAGAAUAAUGAGGAGAAAAUGUCUCUGCAGAGCGAGGUUGAGCUCAGUAAAAAGUAGAAAUAAAAGUACACACUGCACGUCAGAAAUGCAGCAAGCGCUACGCUGAAAAGUUACCUCAGCAAUCCGUGGCUCGCCUGUCCUUGUAUGCUGUCCAGAUCUCCAGGACACCCUGAAUUUCUGCAUCCAAGGCCCGAGAGAUGGUGCGAGGACCCACCACUCAGGCUAUCCUAUUGAAAAUCUGCUUGAGUUCUCUAGAGAAGUCCAAAGGCAAAGCUUUGACAACUUUAUAAUCAACAGAGAAAAGGAUUCGACGGCUUGUGGUUUCGCUUCUUCCUCCCUAGACAAGGAGGGAUCCGCAGCCAGAGAAGCUUCUCCUGGGAUAGUCACCUCCGGACUGCUCUGCUCACUGCUCUGCAUGGCGGUGCACAACGCUCUCCAUCCAGCUCCAGGAUCCUCAGAGUCAACCAGAGUGAAGCCAGGAGCCUUUCCUGUAGCCGCGGGCCAGCGCUGUUUGUCUCCAAGGGUCUCACUGCAUAGUUGAGGCUGGUCUUGAACUGUGUUGCCCAAGCUGGCCGAAAACUCACAGAGAUCUUCCUGCCUCAGCCUCCUGCUGGGAUUACAGGCAUGCUCUACCUCACCUGGCCCCUUCAGGAAAUACGGAGCUGCUUCUCCGGAUGCAUCACUCAGAUACCAUGGGGAAAAGGACAGAGAAAGUGCCGUUUCACACAACUGUCCCGAGGGUAGAGGCAACUGAAGAGAAGGCAAUAAAUCCAGAUAAUUCUCAAUUGUGGAUCCGAGCAAGAAAAAAGAAAUGGUGGGUGGGAGAGAUGAUGAUGACAGGGUAUGGGGCCAAGAACUCCUUCCAGGAAAAGCCCACAGCCCAGGAAAUCCUGGACUCCCUUUGCCACUCCUUUGUAAAAUUUCAUACUUUGAAACAGGGUCCCACUAAGUUGCUUAAUUGCCCAAUGAGGCUCCAAGUUUCAAUCCUCUUGCCUCACCCUCUCCGGGUGCUAGCAUUACAGCUAUGCCCCAUCACGCCCAACAAGAUGAUUAUAAUGACGUAAGCCUCUGGUUGCUACUUGGAUUGGCUGUUCCCUCCCUAAAGACAAAGAGAGGCUGCGGGCCUGGGGUUAACAGGUUAAAGGCAGAAAGCAAAAUUUGGGCUAAUCUCUAAGCAGCUUCCAGUUAAUUCCAAUCAGAACAAUGGGGGGGGGUCCCCACCUAGAGAAAAACCCUUAUGCGGACGAUAUAGGAAAUACGUUCUUUCCCUUUCUAAUGAGCUUGUGAUGUUGAAAAAGAUGAACAUGAAUGUUACAUAAACUAAACAGCACGAACCUCAUGUGUCAAGAAGAAACAAAUGGCAGGGAUUUAGCUCAAUGGCACAAGCACCUGCCUGGCAAGCUCGAGGUUGUGAGUUCGAUCCCCAGUGCCACAAAAGAAGAAGAAGAAGAAGAAGAAGAAGAAGAAGAAGGGGAAGAAACAUGUAUUCUGGACACAGCAUCACCAGAUGAAAACAAUAAAAUAAAUAAAUAAAUAGCUAACACUU